GACGAACCCGUCCUAACGUUGUUCGGAAUCACUGGGCUUAAAGGGCGCGUAGGCGGACCACAAAGUCCGGGGUGAAAUCUUUCGGCUUAACCGGAAAAUUGCCUUGGAUACUGGUGGUCUCGAGGGAGGUAGGGGCAUGUGGAACUUCCGGUGGAGCGGUGAAAUGUGUUGAUAUCGGAAGGAACGCCGGUGGCGAAAGCGACGUGCUGGACCUCUUCUGACGCUGAGGCGCGAAAGCCAGGGGAGCAAAC
rnacentral:rRNA from 1 species